rnacentral:sRNA from 1 species
UAGAAUAUAAUUAAUUAUUAUAUUAAUAUAUUAUAAUCAUUAUUACUAAAAAUUAAUAUAACGUGGUAAGGAAAGGUUUUAAAUUUAAUACCAACCGAAAUUAAUAUUAAAUAUAAUGGUCGAAAUGGGUGAUUUCGCCGGGUUAAAUACGGAAAUAAUUUAACAGGGCGCGGUCUUUUGCAAUUUAUUAAUUACAAACUAUUAUAAUUACUUAGAUAAUUGCCAAAUAAGUACGUUUACAGCGAAAAGAUUUAAAACAAAUGGAUCGAAUUUUAAUUUAAAAUUAUUUUAUAUAUUUUCAAAGAAAAUUGGCGCAAUGUUAUAAAGAAUUAAAACCAGCCCGAAAGGUUUUGAUUGUUCAAAUUAUUUUAAUACACCCAGGAAAUUGAGAAAUAUAUUACAACAUUUAUAUAAAAGUAAUGUAACCAUUGCAAAAUCCCACCAAAAAUCAUUAUAUGUACAAGGUUGCAACUUUUAAUAUAAAAGGUAUAGUUUUUUUAUGUUGGCAAUUUGUAUAAAUUUAUAUAAUAUAAUAUAUAUUAACAUUCUACCUUAUAAACAAAUUUUUGGCGUUUGUUAUAAAGGUUUAAAAUAAAAGGUUGGAAAUGUGAAGAAAAAUCGUAUUUCUUAUAAAUGCUUUAUAAUUUAUUAUAAUAAAGGUUUUUCUAUUUUUAUUAGUUUUAAUUCAAACUUGCGGUUGGAAUUAAUAUUUUCUGAAAUUAAGAAUAUAUAAAUUAUCAUAAAUUUGAAUUGUUAAUACAUAGGAUUAUUAGCAUUUGAAAACCGUGUGUUUUAGUGGGAUUUUGCAAUAAUCGCGUUAAUUAUAUAUAUUUAUUGUAUUUGUUAUAUUUGCCUACGACCAAAUUUGCAACGGUACUAAAACGUGCGGGAAACGCGUAAGUUAAUAUAAAAUGGUACAAAUAAAUAAACUUAUAAUAAUAAUAUAGUUAGAAUAGAGGGAACGUUGGGAUUUAUAUUUCUAUUUUUUUAAUGAUUAUUCUAAUUAAUAUAGUAGCUAAUAAUAAUAAAAAAGGUAAUGAGACAUAAAGUAAAUAAUAUAUAUUCAAUUUAUAAUUAAAUAAUAUUAGAUUAAUAGUAAAUUAAUUUUAGAAAUUAAUAAAUAAUAAAUUAAAUGUUUUUACCCGUUAAAAUAACCGAUGCGUAAUAUUUACCCCAAAUUAAAUAAUUAUAAUUGCAAAGAAAAAUAAAAUAAAUAAAAUACCCCGUAUAAAAAUAGUUGUUUGCGAAAUUUAUAAGUUAUAAAUUGUAAAAUAGUUUAUAAAUUGGUCUAUUAUAAAUGGGACCGUCGUUAUAACAGUAGAAGCUAAAGUUUUGAAAGAGAUAAUAAAUUCCGUUCCGGUAUAUAAAUAUAUCGUGGUAUCCGCGCCAUAUUGCGCCGAAUUGGGGAAAAAUCAUAUUUAAUAACGCGGAUCCGCAACGGGAUAAAGGUAAUAUUAGGGGAUUAGCCAAUAAAUAUUAAAACCGGUAAUAUACCAGUUUAAUUAUAUAAGGUCCGGCCAAAUAUAUAUAACGGAUACGCAUUUUUAAUAAUUUAUAUUUUUUGGAGCUUUAAUUAUAUUAAAUUCUGCACCUAAAAUAUUAUUAGCAAAAGCAGUAUUAAUAGGGGUUUAGGGGGAAACCCUUGGUGUUAUAUCGUUAACAACCAAUUUUAAAAACGCUGUAAUAAAAGUGGGAGAACCCUGUAAAUAUAUGGUAAAAUACACUAAAAUCUGGGAUAAAUAAUUAUAUCGGUUGGGGGAGAUUUUAUUUUAUUUCCCUUGUAUAUUUUUUAAUAAUAAAAUGGGGGUCGGUACGCCAAAACAAGUUUGCGAUACCGUAAAUGGAUUUCUGAAAAAUAAAUUUAUAUGGGUAUAUGGGUUUUUGAAAAGAAAUAUUUUUAAUUGCAUAUAAAUUAUUUUUGUAUUUGCACUUAAAUGUAAAUCUAGUAAAGUUUUAAGCCCGGUAUAAAAUAAUUAAUCCCGUUUGCUAGUUUUUAAAUUGCAAUUCCUAUAUUUAACAAAUUAAUGGGAUUUUAAAAACCCCAUUUCGGCGUUAUAUAUUAUAAACUAUAUACAGAUGAAAAUAGAGUUAUUUACAUUGAAAAUAAUAUAUAUAGUUUAUAUUUUGCUCUGCUAUUUGUGUGGAACUAAAAUCUAAGUAAAGCAAUUAAAAUAUACAAAGAAAAGAAUAUAUUUUUAUAUUUCUACCCAGUUCGAACCCCCGAUACGAGCUCCCUGGAUAAUCAAACCUUUCAUACCAAACCUUGUAAUUAAAUUGGACCCCGGAUUAGACAAACCCCUGAAUUAAACCCUCCCCCCUCCAAAAUUGUAAUAACCCCAAAUUUCCAAUUUAUAAUUAACAAAUUAUAAUUUAUGAAAUUAAAUAUUGGGCCAGUUUGCCCAGUAGUUAAUUGUGCUAUUUGUUAUUUAAAUCUUAAAUAAAUAUAAUGUAUCAAGUGUUUGGAAUUGGAAAACCGCCCAAAGCGCGUAUUAUUUAAUUUCAAUUCGAUUUUAUAAAUUAAAUUGGUAGGAAUAGUUUAGUCAGUAAUUUACAUAAAAUAAAUUCGUGUAAGACGGUCGGUGUUGGGCUAAUAUAAAUCUAUCAUUGCAAUUAAAAGAAAUUAUAAUUAUUAUUUAAUAAAUUAAUUUGAUGUUGUACAGUUUUAUAAAUCAAAAUUGAUUUACAAAAGUUUUUAAUUUUAUAAACUUCGAAAAAAGUUUAUUAAUCGGAAACGUUGCGGUUUUGUAAAAUUAUUAACGGGUAUUUGUUUGGAUUUUAAAUAUGUUCAAACUAUUAACCCUUUUAUAAUUAAUUCCCGUAUAUAAUAAAAUUCUAAUAACGUUUAUUUAAUAGGUUGGUGGUUUGUAAAACUUUAUGCGCUAAUUAUAAAACCUUUAUUUUUCUAAAUAUUGCAAUAGGGUUUGAUACAGGUAAUCCACUUUUGUAAAUAAGUUUUUGGAUUAUUAUAUUUUGCGCAAGGUUUUUAUUAUAAUAUCGGUUUCGGUUUUUGGAGUAUUUAAAAUUAUACUAGUAGCAUUUUUGUAUUUUUACGUUAUAAAACCCCCAAAUAAAAUAUAUA